AACGAACGCUGGCGGCAUGCCUAACACAUGCAAGUCGAACGAGGCCUUCGGGUCUAGUGGCGCACGGGUGCGUAACGCGUGGGAACCUGCCCUUAGGUUCGGAAUAACUCCCCGAAAGGGGUGCUAAUACCGGAUAAUGUCUUCGGACCAAAGAUUUAUCGCCUUUGGAUGGGCCCGCGUUGGAUUAGCUAGUUGGUAGGGUAAAAGCCUACCAAGGCGACGAUCCAUAGCUGGUCUGAGAGGAUGAUCAGCCACACGGGGACUGAGACACGGCCCAGACUCCUACGGGAGGCAGCAGUGGGGAAUAUUGGACAAUGGGCGAAAGCCUGAUCCAGCAAUGCCGCGUGAGUGAUGAAGGCCUUAGGGUUGUAAAGCUCUUUUACCCGGGAUGAUAAUGACAGUACCGGGAGAAUAAGCGCCGGCUAACUCCGUG
rnacentral:rRNA from 1 species